UACGAAGGGUGCAAGCGUUACUCGGAAUUACUGGGCGUAAAGCGUGCGUAGGUGGUUCGUUAAGUCUGAUGUGAAAGCCCUGGGCUCAACCUGGGAAUGGCAUUGGAAACUGGCGACCUAGAGUGCGGUAGAGGGUAGUGGAAUUCCCGGUGUAGCAGUGAAAUGCGUAGAGAUCGGGAGGAACAUCCGUGGCGAAGGCGACUACCUGGACCAGCACUGACACUGAGGCACGAAAGCGUGGGGGGCAAACAGG
rnacentral:rRNA from 1 species